UGGACCGGUGGGCAGAGAAGGGAGGAUGGGGCCCUGGACUGGAGGCAGAGGCCUGCCACGGUGGGAGGGGCUGGACUAAGGCGAUGGCAGGGGGGCUGGGGAGAUCGGGUGUAACCCACACGCCUAUGGGACUGUUGAAGAUAGGAAGAGGGUGGCGUCCAGGGGACAAGGAGCCGGAGGGAUGUGAGGGGCUUAUGGAGUUAGAGUGGACAGAAUUCCUGGUUCCCUGCUGGGGACACAGCGUGCUGAGGCAGGUUUGUGGGAGAUGAGUUGUCCCAGAGACAUACUAGGUCGGUGACCGCUGGGAGGUUAGCGUGGGGGCCUGGACGCAGGGGAGUGGACCCGGCUGAAGGAACCACCGGAACUCGGCGGCUUGGGGGAUGCUCAGGGCCAGGAGCAUGAAUGAGGCCACUCGAGGACCCAGGGCUGGAAACAAGGGACGUCCCUCUCUGGCCCUCUCAGCACUUAGAGGAGAGUGGCUAACCCACCCAGCAGGUCUGCUGUCUCUGAAUCAACUGGAUUACCAAAGCCGCAGACCCCACGGACCUGGAGCAGGGCCAGGGACUUUGUUUCCAAAGCUCGCCGUGGUUCUAAAGUGAGGAGCUGCGCUGCGUUCAUAAGUGGCCGGGUCUGGCUGCCGAGUCAGAGACCUAGGAGCCAAAGAGCCUGCCAGUGGUGGCCCCAGCUUUGCCUCAGGCCUCAGAGGGACAGCCUCCAGUGUAUCAUGUGGCAUCUGCUCACUGAGGACCUCCCGGGCACCCAGUGCUGGGGACUGCACAGUGAACAAAAGCGUCCCUGCGCUCCAGAAGCUCAUCCUCUAGGAGACUAUGGGGUCCGGCCCAAGCACCCGUGGCUACGAGGGCCCCGACCC